rnacentral:misc_RNA from 1 species
UAGCGUGAGGUCGGAAGUUCAAGUCUUCCCAGGCCCACCACACUCAUCGGGUAAGCAUUCGUCUUCUGGUUACGGGGCCAUAGCUCAGCUGGGAGAGCGCGUGCUUUGCAAGCAUGAGGUCGUCGGUUCGAUCCCGUCUGGCUCCACCAGAUGGUUUGAUCACCGACGCUGUGUUUGCAGCUAUUCAACCGUCGUCCGCGAAACAUCACUUCGCACCUACUAGUCUGGAUAGACAGUAGGUUGCGUGAUUUCUGACAUCGUAAAGAGGAGAUCGAUCCGAGUUGGAUCGGGCAGCAAGCAAUUGCUGCGCGAACCUUCAUUAUCUCCGGAUCAUUUCGGCGCUCGCGCGCCUUUCAAUGCGGCUCACAAGGCUGCGUCUGAGGGGAAUGCGGGUUGUAAAUGAUCCUUUUAGCGAAGCUUGACCGCCUCGCUAUCGGAACGAUCUUACGAAGCAAGCUGGUCUUUCUAAUCAUUGUCCGGCUGUACGUAGCGUUCAUCGAGGGCGCGUGCCGCAAGGCAAUCGUACAGACAACAUUCUGCCGAGUGUGUGGACAUUGAUAAUGAGAGCAAUCAAGUGCCUUAAGGGUGUUCGGUGGAUGCCUUGGCGCUGAGAGGCGAUGAAGGACGUGCUACGCUGCGAUAAGCCGUGGGGAGCUGCGAA